AGAGUUUGAUCAUGGCUCAGAGCGAACGCUGGCGGCAGGCCUAAUACAUGCAAGUCGAACGCACCUUCGGGUGAGUGGCGGACGGGUGAGUAACACGUGGGAACGUGCCCUUUGGUUCGGAACAACUCCGGGAAACUGGAGCUAAUACCGGAUAAGCCCUUCGGGGGAAAGAUUUAUCGCCAAAGGAUCGGCCCGCGUCUGAUUAGCUUGUUGGUGAGGUAAUGGCUCACCAAGGCGACGAUCAGUAGCUGGUCUGAGAGGAUGAUCAGCCACACUGGGACUGAGACACGGCCCAGACUCCUACGGGAGGCAGCAGUGGGGAAUAUUGGACAAUGGGCGCAAGCCUGAUCCAGCCAUGCCGCGUGAGUGAUGAAGGCCCUAGGGUUGUAAAGCUCUUUCGGCGGGGACGAUAAUGACGGUACCCGCAGAAGAAGCCCCGGCUAACUUCGUGCCAGCAGCCGCGGUAAUACGAAGGGGGCUAGCGUUGCUCGGAAUCACUGGGCGUAAAGGGCGCGUAGGCGGCCAUUCAAGUCAGGGGUGAAAGCCUGUGGCUCAACCACAGAAUUGCCUUUGAUACUGUUUGGCUAGAGACCGGAAGAGGUAAGUGGAACUGCGAGUGUAGAGGUGAAAUUCGUAGAUAUUCGCAAGAACACCAGUGGCGAAGGCGGCUUACUGGUCCGGUUCUGACGCUGAGGCGCGAAAGCGUGGGGAGCAAACAGGAUUAGAUACCCUAGUAGUCC
rnacentral:rRNA from 1 species